AGCGAACGCUGGCGGCAGGCCUAACACAUGCAAGUCGAACGGAUCCUUCGGGAUUAGUGGCGGACGGGUGAGUAACACGUGGGAACGUGCCCUUUGGUUCGGAACAACUCAGGGAAACUUGAGCUAAUACCGGAUGUGCCCUUCGGGGGAAAGAUUGAUCGCCAUUGGAGCGGCCCGCGUCUGAUUAGCUAGUUGGGGAGGUAAAGGCUCACCAAGGCGACGAUCAGUAGCUGGUCUGAGAGGAUGAUCAGCCACAUUGGGACUGAGACACGGCACCGACUCCUACGGGAGGCAGCAGUGGGGAAUCUUGCGCAAUGGGCGAAAGCCUGACGCAGCCAUGCCGCGUGAAUGAUGAAGGUCUUAGGAUUGUAAAAUUCUUUCACCGGGGACGAUAAUGACGGUACCCGGAGAAGAAGCCCCGGCUAACUUCGUGCCAGCCGCCGCGGUAAGAC
rnacentral:rRNA from 1 species